UCAUUUUCAACCACAAUUUCUCUCAUAAAAUAAUGUUACAUGUAAAUCCAAUUUUUUUUCCUAUUUUCUAAUCAUGCAUUCUCCAAAAAGUGACUAUUUCGAAAACCUAUUUUCCUCAUUAAAAAGGGGGUUCAAACAGGGAGAUAAUCUUUAAGGAAAUCAAUAACAAAUCAUCCUUGUCUCUAACUUUAUUCUCAUUCUCUGUCACAGUCUCUUUCCUCUUUUCCUUCCUGAUAGGUAGGAAAAGAAAAUAAAAGAAGCCGUGAAGCAUUUUAGGUUGUAAGGAAAUAGACCAAAAGGCAAUAUUUGGAAGAUGCAAGACUUGUGGGCAAACACUUUACUCGACUUGAAUAAAUGUCACUUAAGCUGCGGUUUUCAAGGAUUUCUAUGAGAACAUGACAUGAGGCUGAAUUUGAGAUUGAUGCUCAAAUAGUUUUCUCAAACAAUGUAUCGGGAAACCUAUUAUGAAAAUGAUUCAUCUAUCAUGCCUUUCCUAACCAGUGGUGGCAUUUCCAUCAUGGAAUUAGUUAGGACAAUGAACAAUCUUCUAAGAUGGCUUGUUUUACAAUGCUCUAAUUGUACUUGCCAUGAAAGCUCUUUUCUCCCCAGUGUGAAUCUUAGUAGAUGCAUACAUUUGAAUGUUUAAGAUAGAAAUUGUUUAUUUUAAUGAAGUUAUCGUGCUUUAAAUUUCAUCUUUUUAUUUUUCUUUUAUCUUGGUCUAGUUCUAGUCUAAUUUAAUCGUUUUCUGUGGUUAACAUUAUUUCUAUCUAUUAGGCAUAUCGAUCGAGCAUGUUGAAGGCAUUUAAGAAGACCCUUGAUGAAGGGGUUUUCUCCUUUGUAAUUGGUAUGAUUUUCUUGUGGAGAAAAUGCUAUUUACUUUCCAAACUAUUAGGCUUAUUUCUUGUUUAAAUGCUUACUUCUUUCUCCUUUCAUCCAUAAUCUUGAAGUCAUUGAUGGGAUGAUGAACACUAUGGACUUCUUCUCUUCUUCUUCUUCCCAUUCUUUUUUUUUUUUUU
rnacentral:lncRNA from 1 species